rfam:Mus musculus chromosome 5, GRC primary reference assembly.
GGAGAGAUGGCUCAGGGGUUAAGAGUACUGACUGAUCCUCCAGAGAAUCUGGGUUCAAUUCCCAGCACCUUCG